rnacentral:rRNA from 1 species
GAUGAACGCUGGCGGCGUGCUUAACACAUGCAAGUCGAACGAUGAAGCCCAGCUUGCUGGGUGGAUUAGUGGCGAACGGGUGAGUAACACGUGAGUAACUUGCCCUUAACUCUGGGAUAAGCCUGGGAAACUGGGUCUAAUACCGGAUAGGAGCGUCCACCGCAUGGUGGGUGUUGGAAAGAUUUAUCGGUUUUGGAUGGACUCGCGGCCUAUCAGCUUGUUGGUGAGGUAAUGGCUCACCAAGGCGACGACGGGUAGCCGGCCUGAGAGGGUGACCGGCCACACUGGGACUGAGACACGGCCCAGACUCCUACGGGAGGCAGCAGUGGGGAAUAUUGCACAAUGGGCGCAAGCCUGAUGCAGCGACGCCGCGUGAGGGAUGACGGCCUUCGGGUUGUAAACCUCUUUCAGUAGGGAAGAAGCGAAAGUGACGGUACCUGCAGAAGAAGCACCGGCUAACUACGUG